AGUGAACGCUGGCGGUAGGCCUAACACAUGCAAGUCGAACGGCAGCACAGUAAGAGCUUGCUCUUACGGGUGGCGAGUGGCGGACGGGUGGGGAAUACAUCGGAAUCUACUUUUUCGUGGGGGAUAACGUAGGGAAACUUACGCUAAUACCGCAUACGACCUACGGGUGAAAGCAGGGGAUCUUCGGACCUUGCGCGAUUGAAUGAGCCGAUGUCGGAUUAGCUAGUUGGCGGGGUAAAGGCCCACCAAGGCGACGAUCCGUAGCUGGUCUGAGAGGAUGAUCAGCCACACUGGAACUGAGACACGGUCCAGACUCCUACGGGAGGCAGCAGUGGGGAAUAUUGGACAAUGGGCGCAAGCCUGAUCCAGCCAUACCGCGUGGGUGAAGAAGGCCUUCGGGUUGUAAAGCCCUUUUGUUGGGAAAGAAAAGCAGCAGGUUAAUACCCCGCUGUUCUGACGUUACCCAAAGAAUAAGCACCGGCUAACUUCGUG
rnacentral:rRNA from 1 species